AUAAAUGGGAAAAGUAACGUUCUCAAUGUAUAAACAGUAUACCCUAAUCAAAGGAAACAAAGUGAAAAACGCUAAAGUGUGUUUAUUAAGUACAAAAUUCACAGUUACUAACUGAUUAAGAGGCAUCAAAGAGCAAAGGUUCUUCUAUGUGCGAAAGCGAAAAGCAAUUGGCAGCAGCCAAAUUGGCGCACAAAGAUCGUUCGCUUCCAGUAAUAAGAACUGCACAGGUACCAGUAGAUUCUUUAUUCGUAUAUUGAUAGCGAACGUUCAAGCCAUCCGCUCUUGCUUUCUCCUCUAAAAUUUUUGAAUAUUUAUCUACUCCGACGCACCCCAUGUAAGUGGCAACUCUUGGUUUUUCCAGAAACCACUAAAACCAGAUUUAAUCCAGAUUUGUACAUAGAACGCAACUUAAUAUGUAAUAUACUAAUAUGUUAUAAAGAAUUUACUUGUGCUACUCUCAUAGUAUUUUGCACAGAACCUCCGGCGAUAAAGUCUGCCUUGUAUUGUUCGAUUAAUUCAUCGUACAUGGGUUUGUGUUUCUCUUGAGCAAGAAUAGCAUCGUUAGAAUUUAACUGGUACUUUUUCAAAAAAUCGUCAUCUACAGUUGCUGAAAUAUCAAGAAGGGGAUUACCCAUGCCUAGCAGUAGACCUUCUCUGAAACGUUUUAUCGUUUUUUUUAUAUUAAUGAAAUUUCGAAAGUUGAAAAUAAAAUGUUAUUUCGAACAGUUAUGAAAA